AUACCUUUCUCGGCCUUUUGGUUAAGAUCAAGUGUAGUAUCUGUUCUUAUCAGUUUAAUAUCUGAUACGUGGACCAAUGGUCCACACGAUAUUAAAUUAAUUUUUUAAGGGGGAGGAUUCACAACGGUAGCUUGCUACUGGGAUCCUCAUGUGUCGCCCAAGCGUUGCACUAUUGCUCGGGCAGGCGCACCCCAC